GCGUGUGUAGCUCAGUUGGUAGAGCAACCGGCUUUUAACCGGUGGGUCGGGGGUUCGAUCCCCUCCACACGCA
rnacentral:tRNA from 1 species